AUCAAACUUGAGAGUUUGAUCCUGGCUCAGAACGAACGCUGGCGGCAUGCCUAAUACAUGCAAGUCGAACGAGC
rnacentral:rRNA from 1 species